UGCACUUUAGUUGAGAUGUUUUUUCUUUCGACUACUGGGGGAAAGGAAUCACGGUCACUGUCACAGUUCGGCGUUCUGGAAAGACGGAUUCUUGUCAGUUAUUGUCAAUAUCAGCGAAGCAAAGCGAACACUGUGUAUGGCUAUGGUUACUUCGACUACUGGGGAAAGGGGACGCUGGUCACCGUAACCUCUGCUACGCCAUCACCACCGACAGUGUUUCCGCUUAUGGAGUCAUGUUGUUUGAGCGAUAUCUCGGGUCCCGCUGCUACGGGCUGCUUAGCAACCGGAUUCCUGCCUACCCCAGCGACCUUCUCGUGGACUGAUCAAUCUGGAAAUGCUUUUCAAACGGAUAAAUCCCUCCAGUACCCACCUGUGCAGACUGGCGGAACGUACACUUCCACCGGCCAGCUCGCCAUCUCCGAUGCUGAGUGGCAAAAAGCUGAGUACUUCUACUGCACUGUAGAGAACGCUUCCGGCAAGAACAAAGUCAAAGUGGCCAAAUGUGACCCUGAUGUAACCCACCCAUAUGUUUUCAUAAUCCCACCGUCUAUUGAAGAGAUUAGAGCAAACAAAUCGGCCACUAUUGUAUGUGUAGCCAGAGGAUUUUCACCCAAGACAUGGUCAUUUAAAUGGUCGAAGGAUGCUGCGCCAUUUGAUGCUAAACGUUUCAUUAACACGGCCGCGGUUGAGGACAGUGAUAAACAUUUCAGCGCAUACAGUAUCUUAACUGCCACUGAGGAAGAAUGGUUCGGAUCAGAGAUCAAAUGUGAGGUGACUUUUGGCAGAGAUACAGUGUUCAGGACCAUUAACAGCACUAGUGAACCAGGAGAUUGCCUAGCAAAUGUUCAUGUUGGCAUAUCGCCUCCAUCUGUUGAAGAAAUAUUCCUCCUUAAAGAAGCAACGUUAACCUGUAAAGCAACUGGUUUAGUUUCAGCAGACGAUCUUGAAAUUAAGUGGGCUUCAGAAACUAAGGAAUUUGCAACCGGUACACCUGAGAUUAUCAGUGUGAAUGGUUACUUUACAGCUGUCUCCAAGUUAAAAGUAACCUUAGAAGAGUGGGCCCGCGGGGACAAAUUCUUCUGCACUGUAAAGCAAAAAGACUCGUUACCAAGUCCCCGGGUCGCUGCAUACCACAGAGAGCUGGAUGGUCCUUCUCAUCGGCCAGCGGUGUUUCUUCUCUCGCCAUCGCCUCAAGAAUCCACCAACGGAAACGGGGAAGUUAGCCUGACCUGCUUCGUCAAAGACUUCUACCCGGAAGAGGUGUACAUCACCUGGCUUCACAGUGACAACUCUGUCCCCCAAACCUUCUACACCACCACCAAUUUGAUUCCCAAGAAAAACGGCAAGCCCUUGUUUUCGGUGUACAGCAAGUUGACCGUGCCUACCGCGGAGUGGACCGACGGGGGAAUCUAUACUUGUGUGGUCUAUCAUGAGACCAUCCAACCACCCACCAGGAUGAUCACCAGAAACGCAGAUUCCACUGGUAAACAAACCUUAGUAAACGUCGGCCUAACUCUUCCUGACAAGGCUAACCCCUGUAGUAACCUAGGAGGUUGUACAGGAGUCUCUCAGGACUGCUCUGAUUAUGACUUAGAGGAAGAUGAUGCGGGCAGCCUCUGGACCACAGCCUCCACCUUCAUCUUCCUCUUCCUCAUCAGUUUCUUCUACAGCAUUGGAGCAACUUUCGCAAAGGUGAAAUAAUGCAAAUGCAAAUGGUGCUGAAUGGAAUUCUGGCAGAACAAUCAACCGUGUGGCAUUUCUUUCAUUAUUUUUAUUAGUGGUUAUAAAACAUGCUUUUGUUUGGAGUGUAAGUCAAAAUA